rnacentral:lncRNA from 1 species
UCGGACCAUAACAACUAACGUGUCUCAUUCUCUGGCAUCUAGAAGUAGUGGUAAAAUUCUGAAUUUGCAUGGCAAGCACCACUUACGUAGGUAGCUGCCACGCACAGUUUAUACUCUUACGCCUAUAAAGGAUAGGAAUUAUUCAUGAGUUAUGGCUACAAUGAGAAACUGUGUACAGUUUGUACUCUUACGCCUAUAAAGGAUAGGAAUUAUGCAUGAGUUAUGGCUAUAAUGAGGAACUGUGUGAUAGUAGAUACGACAACUGUGUGAUAGAAUGGAAUUGGUUGAUUUUUUUUUAAUUUCUAAUAAGUUAGUAGUAGCGUGGGAAAAAAUUGUGCCCUACUAGUAUUUAGUAUACUAGUAGCAUUGGUACUCAAGAAACGCUACUACUAUUAUGUUAGUAGUAGCGUGGGUC